rnacentral:rRNA from 1 species
UGGGGAAUCUUGGACAAUGGGGGCAACCCUGAUCCAGCCAUGCCGCGUGAGUGAUGAAGGCCUUAGGGUCGUAAAGCUCUUUCGCCUGUGAAGAUAAUGACGGUAGCAGGUAAAGAAACCCCGGCUAACUCCGUGCCAGCAGCCGCGGUAAUACGGAGGGGGUUAGCGUUGUUCGGAAUUACUGGGCGUAAAGCGCACGUAGGCGGACCAGAAAGUUGGGGGUGAAAUCCCGGGGGCUCAACCCCCGAACUGCCUCCAAAACUAUUGGUCUAGAGUUCGAGAGAGGUGAGUGGAAUUCCAAGUGUAGAGGUGAAAUUCGUAGAUAUUUGGAGGAACACCAGUGGCGAAGGCGGCUCACUGGCUCGAUACUGACGCUGAGGUGCGAAAGUGUGGGGAGCAAACAGGAUUAGAUACCCUGGUAGUCCACACCGUAAAACGAUGAAUGCCAGUCGUCGGGUAGCAUGCUAUUCGGUGACACACCUAACGGAUUAAGCA